CACGUAGGGUGCGAGCGUUGUCCGGAAUUAUUGGGCGUAAAGAGCUUGUAGGCGGUGUGUCGCGUCGGCCGUGAAAACCUGCAGCUUAACUGUGGGCUUGCGGUCGAUACGGGCAUCACUGGAGUUCGGCAGGGGAGACUGGAAUUCCUGGUGUAGCGGUGAAAUGCGCAGAUAUCAGGAGGAACACCGGUGGCGAAGGCGGGUCUCUGGGCCGAUACUGACGCUGAGGAGCGAAAGCGUGGGGAGCGAACAGG
rnacentral:rRNA from 1 species